UACGGAGGGAGCUAGCGUUGUUCGGAAUUACUGGGCGUAAAGCGCACGUAGGCGGCUAUUCAAGUCAGAGGUGAAAGCCCGGGGCUCAACCCCGGAACUGCCUUUGAAACUAGGUAGCUAGAAUCUUGGAGAGGUCAGUGGAAUUCCGAGUGUAGAGGUGAAAUUCGUAGAUAUUCGGAAGAACACCAGUGGCGAAGGCGAGUCUCUGGACAGUUACUGACACUGAGGCACGAAGGCCAGGGGAGCAAACGGG
rnacentral:rRNA from 1 species